UCCAUUUGUUUUGUACUAAUAAUUCAUUGGAAAACUAUCAAGUAAGAACAAGAAUCGUAAAAAAUUUACCGGGUACCGGAACAUCGCUAUGAAACAUUACCUCUACCCGGCCGGAUCUAUAAAUAUUCAGCGCGGUUUUGUUCGAGUCACGCGACAUUUGUCCCGGAUACCGCUAUAGAUCAGAUUCGUAAAAUUAAAGCAAGUAUUCAUCUAAGUAUCAAGACAACUAAAUUGGUUUAGAGGAAAUAAAUGGAGAAAGACAGCCAUAGACACAGACAGUUGGAAGCUGAAGGAGGCUUUUACACGUGAAGGGGUUCCAAUCGACGGUCCUGAAGGUUCCUAUCCUACAAGAAAGAGAAAUGUAUAAAAUUGCCUCUCCGAUACUGGAGGUUGACCAGUCUCUUGAAGCGUAUCUUGUCCUGUGCCAAAUGCAGCAACUUUUCAGUUGCAAUACGCGUCCACUCCUUAACAUUGCGAAGCCAUGAUUUCAUCCUUCCGCCAACAGGUCGUUUACCCUGGAUUUUACCCCUUAUAAUUAAUUGAAGGAAGUGGUAGCGGUCAUGACGCAAC